rnacentral:lncRNA from 1 species
GAUGAGCUAACUGGCCAAUAACUCCAUUUUGGUCCUUGCAACCACGGACCAAAAUGCUUAAGCCGGAGGUUACGUAGUACACUCAUCAGGCCCUUAUAAGCUAAUCACACACAUUCCCCACUUCCGAUGUGGGACUAAUGGGAUAUUACACUAUCCCCAACCCAAUUAGCUUACACUAUCCCCAACCCAAUUAGCUUGACGUCCUCGUCAAGGCCUGACAUAUCCCAGAUCGAACCCUAGCAUAGUGCAUGUGAGGUUUAACUCAGUGGUGGCUCCACGCCGUGACGAGUUCUCUGACUCCAUCCACGGGUAGCCCUCUCACCCUGCCCUAAUGCUAGGUCGGCUCUGAUACCAAAUGUCACGACCCGGGUCUGAUGAGCUAACUGGCCGAUAACUCCAUUUUGGUCCUUGCAACCACGGACCAAAAU